UUAGCAACAAUAGCGCCAGAACUUGAGCUUGCGCGGGGAAGAAUCUGAAGGAGCACGACGCUUCGGAUUCACGGCAGCAUCAAGUUGACGAGGUGGAGGUGUUCGAAAUGUUCGGCGGGGACCUCCCGGUGAUACACCACAGCCGUAAACUCGAAACGGAAAAUGAACGGGCGACCGUUCACACAACGUUUCCAGUGGGUGUUAG
rnacentral:ncRNA from 1 species